UCUCCUGAAAUCUGACCUCUCCUUGCAUUUUAGAGCCUUCCUGCCGGCAGUUUGGACUCUGGGAAUCCCUUGCAAGAAACAAACCACACAGCCAACAGUGAAGCCGAGCGAAUGAAUUGAGUCUGACUGGGAAUCACCAGGGCAAAGUCCCUCCUCCCAGACACCCCUCAACUCUGACUCCCCGCUCCACUAAAGAUCCCACAACCCCAACCUCAGCAUUAUUGAGGAUUCAGACUGCUGUGGAAGCAUUCCCUUCAGAAGAGAGGCUUAUGGAAGAAGCUAAAGAAAUUUAAGAGCUUCAGGAAGUUCCCGGAAACUUACAAGAUUCACAAAACCUCUCCUUAAGAUUGUAGAAGCAGGAACUGGAGAGAUGGCUCAGAGGUUAAGAGCACUGGCUGCUCUUCCAGAGGUCCUGAGUUCAAAUCCCAGCAACCACAUGGUGUCACAUCCAUCUGUAAUGGGAUCUGAUGCCCUCUUCUGGUGUGUCUGAAGAGAGCAAUGGUGGUGUACUCAU